rnacentral:rRNA from 1 species
GACGAACGCUGGCGGCGUGCCUAACACAUGCAAGUCAACUUGACUGAAGGAGCAAUCUGACAGUAGAGUGGCGCAAGGGUGCGUAACGCGUAAGUAACUUGCCCAAGGUAAGGAAUAACGUCGAGAAAUCGGCGCUAAUACCUCAUAAUGCAGCGGAUCCGCAUGGAUAUGUUGUUAAAGGUUUACCGCCUUGGGAUAGGCUUGCGUCUGAUUAGCUAGUUGGUGUGGUAACGGCACACCAAGGCUACGAUCAGUAACUGGUCUGAGAGGAUGAUCAGUCACACUGGAACUGAGACACGGUCCAGACUCCUACGGGAGGCAGCAGUGAGGAAUAUUGGGCAAUGCUCGAAAGAGUGACCCAGCAACGCCGCGUGGAGGAUGAAGGUAUUCUAUAUCGUAAACUCCUGUGAGAGCAGACGAAAGACAGAUUAUUAAUACUGGAUGACUGUAUGCUCAGAGGAAG